rnacentral:lncRNA from 1 species
CAAAAUGCCACUCUCAGCACUGCAAGGAGGGGGACACUCAGCAUGGGCACUCAGAAUUGCCUCUGGCAUUUCAUCCUCCUCUCCGUUCUCCUCUGUACCCUGAUGGCAUUAGAGGGAAAGGACACAACGACUGCCACCUCUGAGAGCCACCCGAGUGUCUUGAGGAGCACAAACAGCAGCAGCAGAGCUGGCCCAGCUGCAAACAGUUCAGAUGGUUCCAUGGCAGAGCCUGACACCCCAAGAACCCAAACCUCCCUCCUGGGCACAACCUUGCUGUCCCCCUCCACCAUGAGGAUGGUGGGUGCAGAGAGCUCAGCAUUGCUAACAACAGGAACUGGCACCACCAUUGCUGCUUCCUCCCCACCUCUCAGCUCAGCCACAAGGAGCCACUCCUCAUCUUCCUCCUCUCCUGGGAGCUCCUCAGCUGUGCCUCCCAGCCCACAGCAGAGCAGCACCAGCAGCACCACUAGGAUGCUCUCAGCCACCACAUCCCACCCAUCCACAGCCCUGGUGUCCUCUCCAUCCUCCACUGCUGGGCCAGAGACACAGGGCCCAAGCACCUCCAGGCCUGUGGCUUCCACUUCUCCUGCCUCAGAAACCAUCGAGGCCAGGCCUUCAGCCACUACGGGCAGCAGCACAGGGACACCAACACCUCAGUUCACCACCAGAGAGCCCCCGGUGCAGGGGACGGCCACUUCACCUCCCUCAUCCUCCAAAGCCACAGCCUCUGCCGGCAGCAGUGCCACGACUCCUCCUGGAGAAGAGAAAGGUUCCACCAUGAACCAGGGGAACAGAACAACAACUGAGACCUCCCAUUCCCACCUAUCCACAGCCUUGGUGUCCUCUCCAUCCUCCACUGCUGGGACAGAGACACAGGGCCCAAGCAGCCCCAGGCCUGUGGCUUCCACCUCUCCUGCCUCAGGCACCAUCGAGGCCAGGCCUUCAGCCACUGUGGGCAGCAGCACAGGGACACCAACAUCUCAGCUCACCUCUUCAGCCCUGCCCCAGGGACAGCCAACUGAGCAAGUGACGGCCACUUCACCUCCCUCAUCCUCCACAGCCUCUGCAGGCAGCAGUGCCAUGACUCUUCCUGGAGAAAGGGAGGGUUCCACGAUGAACCAAGGGGACAGAACAACAACUGAGACCUCCCAUUCCCUCCCUUACACAUCCCCGGUGUCCAUGAUGAUGACGGUAGAUGGAGAAGGGAGGACAGACACUGCACCCACAACAAUGUCAGAAAGAGGCUCACUGGGGACAUCUCCUGGGAGUGGUGCACUGUUCCCAGCAUCCCCAACAACAGGAACUGGCGCCACCACUGCCCCAGAGACUGGCACUGCUUCUUCCCAGUCCUUCAGCUCAGCAGUGAUGAGCCACUCCUCCUCCUCCUCUCCUGAGGGAGCUGUGCCUCCCAGCCCACAGCAGAGCAGCACCAGCAGCACCACUGGGACGCCCUUGGCCACCACAUCCCACCCAUCCACAGCGCUGGUGUCCUCUCCAUCCUCCACUGCUGGCACUACAGGCAAUGAGUCAGAGCCCAUUGUGAACAGCUCAGCUGCCACCACAGCCAGCACCAACCCAGUGCCUUCCACCUCUGGCACAUCUUCCAUGAGCUCCUCAGCUGUGCCUCCCAGCCCACAGCAAAGCAGCACCACUGGGAUGCUCUCAGCCACCACAUCCCACCCAUCCACAACCCUGAUGUUCUCCUCUGGCACCUCUUCCAUGGGCUCCUCAACUGUGUCUCCCAGCUCACAGCAAAGCAGCACCACUGGGAUGCUUUCAGCCACCACAUCCCACCCAUCCACAGCCCUGGUAUUCUCCUCUCCAUCCUCCACUGCUGGCAAUGAGUCAGAGCCCACUGUGAACAGCUCAGCUGCCACCACAGCCAGCACCAACCCAGUGCCUUCCAC